rnacentral:rRNA from 1 species
UACGGAGGGUGCAAGCGUUGUUCGGAAUCACUGGGCGUAAAGGGCGUGUAGGCGGUCCGCUAAGUCGGAUGUGAAAUCCCUCGGCUCAACCGAGGAACUGCAUCCGAUACUGGCGGGCUUGAAUCCGGGAGAGGGAUGUGGAAUUCCGGGUGUAGCGGUGAAAUGCGUAGAGAUCCGGAGGAACACCAGCGGCGAAGGCGGCGUCCUGGACUGGACCUGACGCUCAAGAGCGAAAGCGUGGGGAGCGAUCCGG